GACGAACGCUGGCGGCGUGCUUAACACAUGCAAGUCGAACGGACAGACCCUGCGUUUGUGCUUUGCUCGUUUGCCGCACGCGUGAGUAUCACGUGUGUAUCCUCCCCUUAUCUUUCGGGUAACUUCAGGAAACUCCGGCUAUUACCGCAUAGGAUCUCCUGCUCCGUUGUGUUCGUUGGUAAGUUUCGGCGUUUGUGUCUCGACUCGCGGCUUAUCAGCUUGAUGGUUGGGUAGUUGCUUACCAAGGGUUAGACGGCUAGCCGGCCUGUGAGGGUGACCGGCGACAUUGGGACUGAGAUACGGACCAGAGGGCAACGGGAGGCAGCAGUGGGGAACAUGGCACAAUGGGCGGAAGCCGGAUACAGCAACGCCGCGUGCGGAAUGACGGCCUUCGGGUUGUAAACCGCUUUCGCCUGAGACGAAGCGUGAGUGACGGUAAUGGGUAAAGAAGCACCGGCUAACUACGUG
rnacentral:rRNA from 1 species